rnacentral:rRNA from 1 species
AACGCGAAGAACCUUACCUGGCCUUGACAUGUAGGUAGUAGAACCGUGAAAGCGGGACGAGGUAGCAAUACCAGCCUACACAGGUGCUGCAUGGCUGUCGUCAGCUCGUGUCGUGAGAUGUUGGGUUAAGUCCCGCAACGAGCGCAACCCUUGUGUCCUGUUGCCACCCGAACGAGAGUUCGGAGCACUCUGGACAGACUGCCUCGCUUAAACGAGGAGGAAGGUGGGGAUGACGUCAAGUCAGUAUGGCCCUUACGGCCAGGGCUGCACACGUACUACAAUGCCCGGCACAGAGGGAAGCAAGACCGCAAGGUGGAGCAAAUCCCAUAAAACCGGGCCCAGUUCAGAUUGUCGUCUGCAACUCGACGACAUGAAGCCGGAAUCGCUAGUAAUGGCGCAUCAGCUACGGCGCCGUGAAUACGUUCCCGGGCCUUGUACACACCGUACGUC